rnacentral:rRNA from 1 species
GUGAGGAAUUUUCAGCAAUGGGCGAAAGCCUGACCCAGCCACGCCGCGUGAGUGAUGAAGGCCUUCGGGUUGUAAAGCUCUGUGGGGAGGGAAGAAAAAGCGGGAGAGUAACUGCUCUCGUGUUGACGGUACCUCCUUAGCAAGCACCGGCUAACUCUGUGCCAGCAGCCGCGGUAAUACAGAGGGUGCACACGUUGCUCGGAAUUACUGGGCGUAAAGCGCGUGUAGGCUGACAUGCAAGUCGGGUGUGAAAUCCCAGGGCUCAACCUUGGAACUGCACUCGAAACUGCACGUCUUGAGUACUGGAGAGGGAAGCGGAAUUCCGGGUGUAGAGGUGAAAUUCGUAGAUAUCCGGAGGAACACCAGUGGCGAAGGCGGCUUCCUGGACAGUAACUGACGCUGAGACGCGAAAGCGUGGGGAGCAAACAGGAUUAGAAACCCGAGUAGUCC